AUAAACGCUGGCGGCGCACAUAAGACAUGCAAGUCGAACGGAAGUCGUUAUAAAAAGGAUUGAAGAUUUAUCUGAUUGAGAUUUUAUAACAAUGGCUUUAGUGGCGGACUGGUGAGUAACGCGUGAGCAACCUGCCUACUAGAGGGGAAUAACAGUGAGAAAUCAUUGCUAAUACCGCAUAUGCCAUGAACAUCACAUGAUGAAAAUGGGAAAAGAGUAAUCUGCUAGUAGAUGGGCUCGCGUCUGAUUAGAUAGUUGGUGGGGUAACGGCCUACCAAGUCAACGAUCAGUAGCCGGACUGAGAGGUUGAACGGCCACAUUGGGACUGAGAUACGGCCCAGACUCCUACGGGAGGCAGCAGUCGGGAAUAUUGCGCAAUGGAGGAAACUCUGACGCAGUGACGCCGCGUAUAGGAAGAAGGUUUUCGGAUUGUAAACUAUUGUCGUUAGGGAAGAUACAAGACAGUACCUAAGGAGGAAGCUCCGGCUAACUACGUGCCAGCAGCCGCGGUAAUACGUAGGGAGCAAGCGUUAUCCGGAUUUAUUGGGUGUAAAGGGUGCGUAGACGGGACAACAAGUUAGUUGUGAAAUCCCUCGGCUUAACUGAGGAACUGCAACUAAAACUAUUGUUCUUGAGUGUUGGAGAGGAAAGUGGAAUUCCUAGUGUAGCGGUGAAAUGCGUAGAUAUUAGGAGGAACACCGGUGGCGAAGGCGACUUUCUGGACAAUAACUGACGUUGAGGCACGAAAGUGUGGGGAGCAAACAGGAUUAGAUACCCUGGUAGUCCACACCGUAGACGAUGGAUACUAGGUGUAGGAAAUGAUUUCAUUUUCUGUGCCGUCGCAAACGCAAUAAGUAUCCCACCUGGGGAGUACGGCCGCAAGGUUGAAACUCAAAGGAAUUGACGGGGGCCCGCACAAGCAGUGGAGUAUGUGGUUUAAUUCGAAGCAACGCGAAGAACCUUACCAGGUCUUGACAUCCUUCUGACCGCACCUUAAUCGGUGCUUUCCUUCGGGACAGAAGAGACAGGUGGUGCAUGGUUGUCGUCAGCUCGUGUCGUGAGAUGUUAGGUUAAGUCCUGCAACGAGCGCAACCCCUGUGAUUAGUUGCCAACAGGUUAAGCUGGGAACUCUAAUCAGACUGCCGGUGAUAAAUCGGAGGAAGGUGGGGAUGACGUCAAAUCAUCAUGCCCUUUAUGUCCUGGGCUACACACGUACUACAAUGGCUGUAACAGAGAGAAGCAACACCGCGAGGUAGAGCGAAACUCCAAAAGCAGUCUCAGUUCGGAUUGAAGGCUGAAAUUCGCCUUCAUGAAGCCGGAAUUGCUAGUAAUGGCAGGUCAGCAUACUGCCGUGAAUACGUUCCCGGGCCUUGUACACACCGCCCGUCACACCAUGAGAGUUGGGAAUACCCGAAGCCUGUGAGCCAACUGUAAAGAGGCAGCAGUCGAAGGUAGAAUCAAUGAUUGGGGUG
rnacentral:rRNA from 1 species